rnacentral:rRNA from 1 species
UACAGAGGUCUCAAGCGUUUGUUCGGAUUCAUUGGGCGUAAAGGGUGUGUAGGUGGCGCCGUAAGUCGGGUGUGAAAUUUCGGAGCUUAACUCCGAAACUGCAUUCGAUACUGCGGUGCUUGAGGACUGGAGAGGAGACUGGAAUUCAUGGUGUAGCAGUGAAAUGCGUAGAGAUCAUGAGGAAGACCAGUGGCGAAGGCGGGUCUCUGGACAGUUCCUGACACUGAGACACGAAGGCCAGGGAGCAAACGGG